GGGCCUAUAGCUCAGUCUGGCAGAGCACUUGACUCUUAAUCAAGGGGUCGCGGGUUCGAAUCCCGUUAGGCCCGCCA
rnacentral:tRNA from 1 species